rnacentral:lncRNA from 1 species
AGGGUUUCUUUGGCUCACAGACCCAGGCCUUGUAUAUGAAGCGUCCUCCCCUUCCCCAGGGCUUAAGUCCUAAAACCAGUGCUCCGUGCUGAAGGAUUCCAUGAAUCCCGGUUGGAUUUGGAAGCUUUGAGUGACCCAGACACAUGUUCCUCUUCCUCCUGCUCACAGGUACGGCCAGGCUUCUGCCAGUGCUCAAGAGACUCAGAAAAGUCCAGCUUGGCAUCAAGCACCGAGAAAAGACGUUAAAACAAACCACGUGUCCCCUUCCUUCCUGGCCACAAUCUGCCUGAUGGCUGUCAAACCUUCCAGGAUACUCAACGGCUGGCGCUUGCCUGCUGGGUUGCUGUCUUCCUCCUUCGCUUAUGCUUCCUGCCAGGCUCCUAAGAAAUCUAGUGUCCAUGUCUGAGCUCAUUCCACCACGGGGCUCCUUUGACCAGCACCUGUUGAUGGCGUUUAUUUUGAACAGAUCUUGGUUUUUAAAGUCCCAGAUUCUGAGACUUCUUCACUCGCUGAUAGAUGCUCCUGACACCAUGCCUGCAGCUUGAGCCUGUGCCUCCCUGCUCUGAUGGACUCAUCCCUCUGGAAGUAUUGAGACAUACACCCCAAGAAGUUAUAAGUCCCCCGGGGAUCACAUGUCGGGGAAGGAGAGCCAGAAGCAUAGUCUCAGCAGAGGGAGUAACUUGCCUCCAUGGAAGAGCUUUACCGCUUGCCGGAGAGACUGGAGCUGAGACAAGGCGAUGGAUAGAACCAUGCAUUGACCAGACUGCUUAGCUGUGCAUACUUCUUGUCCUGUAUUUAAACUUAAACUUCAUGACAGGACCCCAAAAGUGGAGCGGGAAUGGAAUGGAGGACCAUUGGACCUCCUUGUUCCCUUACCAGUGUGCCCACAUUAAAUGGAUCUCCUUUUUUCUGCU